CAUCCUCAGCCUCUCCUCCUCCUCCUCUGAGACCUGCUUCUCCUCGGGAUCCUCCUCCUAGACCAACUUCUCCAAGAGUUGCCUCACCACAAGCCGCUUCUCAAAAACCGGCUUCUCCAAGAGCAGACCUUCCAAGAAAGGAAUCUCCAAGAUCCCUUUCGCCAAAGCUCUCUGAUCGAUCAAAGCCAUCAUCAGCCUCUGCCAAUGCUCCUCCGCCUCUAAGGCCUGCUUCUACUAGAGUUCCUUCUCAGAGAAUUUCCCCUCCCAUUGUUCCUUCUCCAAGACCAACUUCACCAAGAGUUGCCUCCCCAAAAGCCGUUCCUCCAAAGCCGCCUUCUCCAAGAGCAGACCCACUAAGAUUGGAUACUCCAAGACCACCUUCGCCAAAGCCUCCUUCCCCAAGGGAUGCUUCUCCAAGAACAGACACAUCAAGGUUGAAUACACCAAGACCUCCUUCUCCAAGAGAAGCUUCUCCAAGAGCAGACCCACCAAAGUUGGAUACUCCAAGACCUCCUUCCCCAAAGCCUCCUUCUCCAAGAGCAGAACCACCAAGAUUGGAUGCUCCAAGACCUACAACGCCUAAGCCCCCUUCUCCAAGAGCGGUUUCGCCUAGGGC
rnacentral:lncRNA from 1 species